rnacentral:rRNA from 1 species
CCCGCUGAGAGAAAACGGUGGGCGCAGGUCUCACACAUGCGUGUCGAGCCAGAACACAGGGACCUUGUUCUUGGCUGACGAGCGGCGGACGGGUGAGUAAUGUCUGGGAAACUGCCUGAUGGAGGGGGAUAACUACUGGAAACGGUAGCUAAUACCGCAUAACGUCGCAAGACCAAAGAGGGGGACCUUCGGGCCUCUUGCCAUCAGAUGUGCCCAGAUGGGAUUAGCUAGUAGGUGGGGUAAUGGCUCACCUAGGCGACGAUCCCUAGCUGGUCUGAGAGGAUGACCAGCCACACUGGAACUGAGACACGGUCCAGACUCCUACGGGAGGCAGCAGUGGGGAAUAUUGCACAAUGGGCGCAAGCCUGAUGCAGCCAUGCCGCGUGUAUGAAGAAGGCCUUCGGGUUGUAAAGUACUUUCAGCGAGGAGGAAGGCAUUAAGGUUAAUAACCUUGGUGAUUGACGUUACUCGCAGAAGAAGCACCGGCUAACUCCGUGCCAGCAGCCGCGGUAAUACGGAGGGUGCAAGCGUUAAUCGGAAUUACUGGGCGUAAAGCGCACGCAGGCGGUCUGUCAAGUCGGAUGUGAAAUCCCCGGGCUCAACCUGGGAACUGCAUUCGAAACUGGCAGGCUAGAGUCUUGUAGAGGGGGGUAGAAUUCCAGGUGUAGCGGUGAAAUGCGUAGAGAUCUGGAGGAAUACCGGUGGCGAAGGCGGCCCCCUGGACAAAGACUGACGCUCAGGUGCGAAAGCGUGGGGAGCAAACAGGAUUAGAUACCCUGGUAGUCCACGCCGUAAACGAUGUCGACUUGGAGGCUGUUCCCUUGAGGAGUGGCUUCCGGAGCUAACGCGUUAAGUCGACCGCCUGGGGAGUACGGCCGCAAGGUUAAAACUCAAAUGAAUUGACGGGGGCCCGCACAAGCGGUGGAGCAUGUGGUUUAAUUCGAUGCAACGCGAAGAACCUUACCUACUCUUGACAUCCACAGAACUUAGCAGAGAUGCUUUGGUGCCUUCGGGAACUCUGAGACAGGUGCUGCAUGGCUGUCGUCAGCUCGUGUUGUGAAAUGUUGGGUUAAGUCCCGCAACGAGCGCAACCCUUAUCCUUUGUUGCCAGCGGUCCGGCCGGGAACUCAAAGGAGACUGCCAGUGAUAAACUGGAGGAAGGUGGGGAUGACGUCAAGUCAUCAUGGCCCUUACGAGUAGGGCUACACACGUGCUACAAUGGCGCAUACAAAGAGAAGCGACCUCGCGAGAGCAAGCGGACCUCAUAAAGUGCGUCGUAGUCCGGAUUGGAGUCUGCAACUCGACUCCAUGAAGUCGGAAUCGCUAGUAAUCGUAGAUCAGAAUGCUACGGUGAAUACGUUCCCGGGGCUUGUACACACCGCCCGUCACACCAUGGNGAGUGGGUUGCAAAAAGAAGUAGGUAGCUUAACCUUCGGGAGGGCGCUUACCACU